AUGGAGCGGAGGCAGCCGCAGACCGCGCCGGCGCCGCGGCGGAAGGGUGCGCCGGCGGCGAGUCAGGAGUGGCUGGUGGUGCCGGCGGCGGGGGAGGAGAGCACGGGGGAGUUCGGGAGGCACCGGAUCAUGGAGAUAACGGGGCUCCCCGCGCGGGACCUCCGCAUGCUCGACCCGCAGCUCUCCUACCCGUCCACCAUCCUCGGCCGCGACCGCGCUGUCGUCGUCAACCUCGAGCACGUCAAGGCCAUCGUCACCGCCGCCGAGGUGCUCGUCCGCGACCCCGGCAACCCGCGCCUCCGCCCCUUCCUCCAAGAACUCCACGCCCGCCUCGCGCUCCCGGAUGCGUCUACCACGAAUCCGGCAACCGACGACAUGGAGCUGGGUGGUGAUCAGGGGAACGUGCCAAUGCCUGGCAGCGCUAAGAUCCAGCCCUUCGAGUUCAAGGUGCUCGAGGUCUGCCUCGAACACACAUGCAAAUGCAUGGAAUCCGAGACGUUGGCCCUGGAGAAGGAGGCGUAUCCGGCCUUGGACAAGCUGACCUCCAAGGUUAGCACGCUCAACCUGGAGCACGUCAGGCAGAUCAAGAGCCGCCUGGUAGAGCUAACAGGGCGCGUGCAGAAGGUGAGGGAUGAUAUCGAGCAGCUGGUUGACGAUGACACGGAUAUGUCCGAGAUGUACCUGACGAGGAAGCUUGCGUUUCAAAGAGUAGACGAGUCAUCGGUUAAAUUGGAUUCCAACAAGCAUGCAUCUCCUGACCAUGAGGAUGAGAAGGAGGAAGAAGACAGUGGCGAUGAUAUAGAGAGCUCCCACGCAAGUUCUGCUUUUGUUAAGCCUGAUGUAGAAGAGUUGGAAAUGCUUCUCGAAGCUUACUUCGUGCAGUUUGAUGGCACGCUGAACAAGUUAUGCCAUCUCCGCGACUACGUGGAUGACACUGAGGAUUACAUCAACAUGAUGCUGGACGAGAAGCAGAACCAGCUGCUGCAGAUGGGUGUGAUGCUCACGACGGCGACCGUGGUGAUCACCGCGGGCAUCGUGGUCGUGAGCCUGUUCGGCAUGAACAUCCACAUCGAGCUGACGUUAGAUCCGGAGACCCCCGAGAUGGCGAGGAUCAAAAACAGAAAGUUCUGGGAGACCACCUGGGCCACCGUUGCCGGCUGCGCCGCCAUAUACAUCCUGGCCAUCUAUGCAGGGAAGAAGAGCAAAUACUUGCAGUGA
rnacentral:rRNA from 1 species